UACGUAGGGUGCAAGCGUUAAUCGGAAUUACUGGGCGUAAAGAGCGUGUAGGCGGCCACGCAGGUCCGUUGUGAAAACUGGAGGCUCAACCUCCAGCUGUCGACGGAAACCGUAUGGCUAGAGUCCGGAAGAGGAGAGUGGAAUUCCUGGUGUAGCGGUGAAAAUGCGCAGAUAUCAGGAAGAACACCAAUGGCGAAGGCAGCUCUCUGGGACGGUACUGACGCUGAGACGCGAAAGCGUGGGGAGCGAACAGG
rnacentral:rRNA from 1 species